AGAGAGAGGGCAACAAAGGGGAAGCCGACAAGGUGGAAGGCGCCUUCUCUCUUCGCAAAAACUUCUAUUGAUAACACACCAAGAUGCUGCUCCAAAGGAGGCUCUUUUACCUUCUCCCCUAUUCCGCUCCCCGGAUCACCACCCUCGCCCCCUUCUCCCAUCACCUCCUCAUCAGUAUCCUUCGCUUCUCCGCUCCCACAACUCAAACCCCAUCUCCUACACCCCCUUUCAUCGUAGAAUUCCUCCUCAACUCCUGUGGUCUCUCAUCGAGCAAGGCGAUUGAAGCUUCGAAGCACCUCGCCCACUUCAAAUCCCCAGCCCAGCCAACCUCUGUGAUCCAAUUCUUACAACAGCUAGGUUUGAGUGAUUCUCACAUCAGAAUCUCCAUCUCUAAGUGCCCCAGGUUGCUCUGUGCCAACGUGGAGAAGACCCUGAGGCCAAAGAUCAGAUCUUUGCGAGAGAUGGGCUUUUCCGAAGCCGAGCUCGGCCAGCUGAUCUCAGCCAAUCCCAAUGUCCUCCGGGUUCGAAAUCCAAGGCCCAAGAUCGAAUUUUGGAGAGACUUCUUUAGCUCCAACGAGGAGUUAUUCAAGGCCAUCGGAAGAGAUGCCUAUCUCCUUAGUUCCAGCCUUAGCAAGAGAAUAAUUCCCAACAUAUCCCUUCUCAGGGAGUGCUGCAUUCCCGAUCACCGGAUUGCCAAGAUGAUGCUGUCCACGCGAUUCGUUGCUCGGAAGCCGAGUUUGAUCCAGGCGGCCGUGAAACGGGCUGAUGAAUUGGGAGUCCCCCGCAGCUCAGGUUCGUUCCCGCAUCUCCUCCAGACUGUCUUUAACAUCAGUCAAAGCACUGUCGAUGCUAAGCUCAAAUUGUUUAAGAGCCUUGGAUGGUCGGAAGCUGAGUUCUUGUCUGCAAUGCCGAAGAACCCGGUUUUGCUGAGGCUAUCCGAGAAGAAUGUACGUGACAAAAUGGAUUUCUUCAUGAAAGAAGUUGGAUGCGAGCUUGGAUAUAUAGUGCGCCGACCGGUACUUCUAUCAUACAGCUUGGAGAGGAGGCUGAUACCGCGGCAUCUCGUCUUGCGGACUCUGAAGCAUGAGGGGUUGCCUGGGGGAACGCGCGACCUGUUGACUGCCAUCUUAUUUAGUGAGAAGUCAUUCAUUGAGAAGUUUGUGCUCCCAUACAGGGAGAAUGUUCCAGGGCUCCAUGAAGCUUAUGUUGUUGCUUGUGCUGGGAAAGCUCCAAUUUGAUGCAAGCUCAAUGGAGGACUGAAGAAGAAUUUGUGCGUUGAAGCAUACUAGUCAUAGCUCAGCCUCAAACCUUGGGUAUGGGAAGACAUGGACUUGAGAAGAAUACCUCCACUUUAGGUUUCAGCUCUAUUACAUCUUUCCAGGCAUAAUUCGUGUGAGAUACUGUUAUACAGAAGCCAACAAUUUGAUCAAGAAGACUUAUAUGAAGGUGUCAGCUUGUCAAGCUCGUAGAGUCCUUGGAAGUUGGAUCAAAUGACCCAAGAUCACCUUCAACAAGGUUUGGAGAGUUAUGAGUAUCUGGAAAGGUGUACACCAAUUAUGUACCUCAUUGCCUGUAGUCUUUUCUGUCAAUUAUA